UAUUACAUAUAUAGAGAUCCCCUGCGUGACGUAGGCCUCAUAUACGAAUAUAUGUGCAUGAUAUGUUUUAACUGUUUAUUCAGCUUUUAUGAAAUGCUUAUAUGUUCAAUGCCCUUUACGAAAAUAAAAAUGUUUAUGAAAAUGAAACGUUUAUGAAAUGAUUGACUGCCAAAAAUGUUUAUGUUUUUAUAUGUAUCCUAUCUGUGUUGGUUCACCAACUUUAAAGGAAAUCCAAUUGGGAUCCUAUGCUAGACAAAGGUUGCUAGCUAGGGUUAACGUGUACACUCAUGGAGACCGCGAGUCGCUUGCGACCAGUCUUGGCGUCCGUGGUAAGGAGGCCUCCUUCCCGGCGCGUGACAGAAAGGAACAGAUAUGGAUCAUAUGAAGGAAAAUGAUAGGCCGAUCGACUUUAUGAAAAUGAAAAGAAAUGUUUUUAGUUGAGCAAGCGAUGGAAUGGCUUGGUGUUGAGCGGGAAUUCUUUUGAUGGAUAUGUAAUGAAACCUUGAGUAUGCAUCUCCAUAUGCAUAACUCACACGUUUUUUCCGCUGCAAACACUCUGAAAUUGUUAUCGUAUUGUGGAACGUAUUACACUUUCAUUUUGUUUAACUUUCACUUGGGUCCAGUUGUUAUGGCAUAAUCGUUUGUAAAUUACCCACGCGGUUAUAUAUAUAUAUAUAUAUAUAUAUAUACAUAUCACUAGUUUGUUGUUAUUAAUGUUGGUUACUUAGCAAAUCCCCUUUAAUUUCUUUUUUUAUUGUUCACCCCAAGUCAUAACCCCGGUUAACCCGUCACUGGGAUAGUGGGCUGUGACAGAAUGGUAUCAGAGCAGUUCGUUUGCUCUGGCCCUAGAAACCUUAUUCUAAAAAGCCAAGUCUAGUUUGAUUCACUAGACAUACGUGGGUUCAUACGAUACCGCUCAACACUCCAUUGCAUCGUGCUCAAUCAAGGAAAAAGAUUCAACUGAUCCGAUGGAGGCUGUUAGAGGUACAUUUAACGUGCACGACGGAGGAUGAUUGUUAUCUUGUUUAAUAACUUCAACUAAAUUAUGUUUAAAUAUCAUGGUCUUUAGGAUCUGAAUCUCCACAAAAAAGGUGGCCAAAAAAGCAAGAUUGGAGACAUCUAAGCGACUCAAGGAUAAACGAGAUAGAAAUGUUGGCUCACAGAACGAACCUCCGAUGGAUGGAACAUGUGAAUCUCUUGAAAGAGCCAGAUUAACUCGCAAGACAGGAUACUGCGAAGAAUGCAGCCAACAACAGUGACCCCAUUUUCGCAGGUUUGCAUACUAGAACAACACCAUCCUCUUUCUGUGGGUACUUAUCUAAGCUAAAUCAGUCUCAAGUGGAUUCUGUUAUAUCUAUGGGUUUUGGACACUUGCUGGAAAUGAGAGUAAGAUUUCUGCCAACACAGAUGGCAUAUUGGUUGAUGGAGAAUUUUGACUACAAAACUAGUGAAUUGUUGAUUGAUGACAAUGUGAAAUUUAAAGUAACUGAAGAUGAUGUUUGUAGAGUUUUUGGGUUUCCUAAGGGUGGUGAAGAGAUCAACAGAUUCUCUAUUCGGCUUGUAAUGCUUUGAGUAUGCAGUGGGUGUCGUUGUUCAACGUUCGACAUCGUGACAAUAUAAAGAUUAAAGCUAUUUUAGAUAAGAUGUUGGGAGAGGUGGAUGGAGGGCCAUGGUUCAAGAGGCAUUUUCUCAUUGCUAUGCAGUUUAGUCUAAUAGAGAGCUAUCCGAAUGGGACGGUUCAUCCAUUCGUCAUGAGAUGCUUGGAGGAUUUGAGUGUGAUCAAAAACUGGAACUGGGCAGGAUACAUGUUGAAGGCUUUGACUCAGCAUGCACAAAGUUGGGCCGAGAAUGGGAAGAAAAUAUUAUGUGGUCCAAUACUAUUUCUUGUGCUAGUCUAUGUCGACAGAAUGUAUAUGGAAGGUUCGAAUGUACCACGUUGAUGAGGAGUAAUAUGUGCAGAGCAGAGGAAUGACUUUACCAGGGGAAUCACGGGAAGCAGAGAGAUGGUUUUUAUCAGAGGAAUCACCUAAAAUCAGAAGAAUGGCAUCCGCCAGAGGAGCGGUUUUCGCCAGAGGGAUGAUUCUUGCCAGAGGAAUCGUACUCACCAGAUGAAUCGUACUCGUCAGAGGAAUCGUACUCGCCAGAAGAACGGUCCUAGCCAGAGGGAUAGCUUGCUCCAGAGGAAUCGUCCACCUCACCGGCGAAUUUACCUUUUUGCCCUUAACCACGCGGAGUGCAUGUUCUUAGAUAGGAAUUUACUAUUUUGCCCCGUCCACGCAAGGAGCAUGCUCGGGGAGCGAAAUUACUUUCUUACCCUUAGCUUGUAUUCCUCUAUAAAUACUCGUGCAUGUGCACUUUGUAACAUACGUUAUCUUUGAUUAUCAUGCAGCAGUUUUACUCU